rnacentral:rRNA from 1 species
ACAGAUUUUUUCUGCCCAGUGGGUUUCUAAACGGCCGCGGUACUCUGACCGUGCAAAGGUAGCAUAAUCACUUGCCCUUUAAUUGGGGGCUAGAAUGAAAGAAAGUUUGAGAGUUAUGCUGUCUCUUUUAUUAAGAAAGAAGUUGCUGUUUUUGUGAAGAAGCAAAAGUGAAAGAAAAAGACAAGAAGACCCUAUUAAGCUUUAUUUUUAUGUUUUGUUUUUUAUCUUAGAAGAAUAAAAAACAAAACUGUUAAAUUUGGUUGGGGUGACUAAAAAGGAAUAUUAUCCUCUUUUAAUGAAUAUACAAUUUGUUUAAUGAUGAUCCGGAUUUUCCGAUUAAAAGAAUUAGUUACUAUAGGGAUAACAGCGUAAUUUUUUCAGAAAGUUCUUAUUGAAGAAAAAGAUUGCGACCUCGAUGUUGACUUAUUGUUUCCUAUAAAAGUGCAGAAGCUUUAAGG